rnacentral:rRNA from 1 species
UCGAGAAUUUUUCUCAAUGGGGGAAACCCUGAAGGAGCGACGCCGCGUGGGGGAUGAAUGGCUUCGGCCCGUAAACCCCUGUCAUUCGGGAUCAAUGCUUACCACCUAACACGUGGUGAGUUGAUAGUACCGAAAGAGGAAGGGACGGCUAACUCUGUGCCAGCAGCCGCGGUAAUACAGAGGUCCCAAGCGUUGUUCGGAUUCACUGGGCGUAAAGGGUGCGUAGGCGGUCGGCUAAGUCUGAUGUGAAAGCUCGGAGCUCAACUCCGAAAUGGCAUCGGAAACUAUCCGGCUGGAGGAAUGGAGGGGAGACUGGAAUUCUCGGUGUAGCAGUGAAAUGCGUAGAUAUCGAGAGGAACACCAGUGGCGAAGGCGAGUCUCUGGACAAUUCCUGACACUGAGGCACGAAAGCUAGGGGAGCAAACAGGAUUAGAUACCCUGGUAGUCCUAGCCGUAAACGGUGCACAUUUGCUGUGAGAGGAUUCGACCCCUUU